CUUCCCACUUUCAAGUAGCUGUCCAAAAUGCAGUCCAAUAUCUGAUGGAGAUAGAGGAAUGGAGUAUGUUUUAGGUCCUUCGGUGUGAGACCUCACUACACCAACACAGCAAUGAACUUGCAGGCAAUCAUCCUUCAGGUAAUCAGAUGAUUCUAAAGCGGUUCUUUUAAAAAAUCGCUUAUAUCCCCACAUGCUUCCACGGUAUUUAAGAG
rnacentral:misc_RNA from 1 species